rnacentral:lncRNA from 1 species
UAAAUACUAAGGCAAGAUACCACAGAUACUUAUGGCACCUUUGAAGGUUUCAAUCACACUCAAACUGAACUCAGGUUCAGGCUCCUGACCUGGGACCAGUAGACAAUGUAUAUCUAAAGGAAGAACUACUUAACUUUCCCAUCUCCUUCCUCCCUUCUCCUCCUCCUCUUUCCCCUUCUUCCUACCCCUCCAGUUUUUCUUCCUUCCCUCCUCUCUUUUCUUUCACUCCCUUGUAUUCCUUUUCUCCCUUCUUCUUCCCUCCCUCCUUCCCCUCCCUCCCUGUUUCCCCCUCUUUUUCUUUCCUUCUCUCCCUCUCUCAUCAUUCUCUGCUCCCCUCUGCUAGCUCCUCCUUUCUCCAUUCUCCUUCCUCCCCCACCCCCACUUCUGCCAUGUCUUUCACAGCUAGCAUAGCCCACGGUAUAUAAAAGGACUCAUAAUUAGGUUUUGAAAAGAUUGAAUUUCCAAUACAGACCAUCUGUUCCAAUAGCCAUUUAUUUCCAAAGGUUAGCAGACACUAACUUUCAACAUUUUUCAUUAAAGCCUUUCCGAAGGCCCAGCUGCACUGUCCCCUGCCUGAAUAUGCUCCUCUGCCCUCAACUGGCCUUUGUCCUCUCGUUCUCCCCUUCACUGAACCCCUAACCUAGGUCACUGGGACUCCGGUGGCUGCCCUGUCUAGACCCUCAGACCACUAUCAGAAGGGAUGGCUUGGGAAGUGUGCUUGGGAAGUCCUGGGCCAUCUCAUUCAGAGGAUAAGGCCACCUAAGAGGUUUUAGCUUCACCCAUCAAAAGUGUUGAUCUGCUAUUAGGACACAUCCAAAGUCAACAAAAACAAACAAACAACUGAACACAAAAGCAGUGGGUAGGACUUAGAAGAAAGCUCCUACUGUGCUACUGCUCUGGACUGAUUCCACAAAGAAGGAUGCUGAAGACCAUGAUCAGAGUCCUGCCUUGUAUAGGAAGGAAGUAAAGAAAAAGGAAGCUGAGAGGCAAGAUCCCUUAGGGAUCUGUUUUAUAUCCCAGCACAAAGAAGCAAUGAUUGAGAAGGCCAGUUUGCCAACUGGCAAGUGAAACGUCAUGGUUACAGUCUGAGUGAAAUGGUCAGGGUGAAGAAAGGACUAUGUUACACUAUGCUAUACAGACACCUAGAAUAGGUGUGCUUUCAAUAGAAAUGAAGUGUGUGGCAUAGAUAUGGUUGUUACAACGUUAGGCAUAGUGAGGCUAUGUAUCAGCAAGGAGAACGUGAGUCUAUUCUGUUAGACCAUGGUGCAGAUUCAAAUGUCACGGAUGACAGUGGCGACCCUACUCUCCAACAUGUUUGUAAUGAAAACCUUAUGGCUGCCAAACUGCUAGCAUACCAUGCAAUUAUGGAUAGAAAAAAACAAGGAUAUUUCACCCUACACUAAUUUGUAAUGAAGAACUAAUGGGAGAUAGCCAAAUUUUAAUUUAUAAAGAAGCAAACACACAUGCAACCUGUAUAUGGAAUAAGCUUUUCCAAUAACUUCUGUGCUGGUGACCCCGGUCCUAUGUCCUUCAAAAGAGGAUAAGUAUAACUUUGAUGCCAAGUUGGAAGAGGUAUGAACCUAAUACAGGCUGUGUGAAAAUAAUGCAAAGAUGUAUGGACGACUGCAAAAGCUUGACAAGUCCAUGUUAGAAUUACAAAAACAAAACAAAACAAAACAAAAAAACUCAAAAAAUCCCACAAAAAUCAAGCAGGAAAAAUCCAAUGCUGAAAAACUUGUCUGAAGAAGAUAAGGAAAUUUUUUUAUAAAAGAACACCUAUAGCUAUUUCCUCUGAAUUGAAACAUUCCCUGCUGGAAGGAUGAGGGAAGUUCCUAAGACUCUCCAAGUAAUUCAGAUCUAUCACCUAUCAGGAUGCUGAGGAAACGUGAAGGCUCGGGAAGCUCAGGAAACUGACAACAUUCACAAAGCUUCUCCACGAGGCUAGAGGAGCAUUUAUGCAAUUUGAGGAGUGUCUUGUAGCUUGUUUCAGCAAAGCACCUUUUGUGAGCUGUCAGCCAUGCGGGGGCGUGGCUUUUCGGUGAUGAAGCUGCUUUUGGGAAUCAUCCAGGGUCCUAAAAACAAUCCCUCACCUAUAUUCCUCACUGGUUUACUAAGCCAGACAUGUAAGGAACUGGUUUUGUUUGUUUGUUUGUUUGUUUGUUUUUUGUUUUUGUUUUUUGUUUGUUUUUGUUUUUUUUUGGGGGUGGUCUGUUGUUGGUGCCUUCUCUGGGGCGAAUAGAUGUUUGCCUCCCUAGGAAAUGUCACAUAACAAAUGUAUUGAAAACAUACUCUCUUGCCAUGUAGGUUGGUGUGAGGAAAGGAAGAAAAAUGAAUAAAAAGAGUAGAGUUAGAUUAAAAAAAAACCCUCUGAAAUAUGACAGAAAAGGGAGGUGUCAGUGUGAAAAUGGGAAAUAUAUUUUCCACAGAAAUUUAAAGCCCAGAGAAUUUGAUAUGGAAAUUCUGACUAGUGUGCUUUUAAAAAGUAAGCAGCUGAGUUAAGAGGUGACCCACUUGCUUCGAUGAUGUCACCAAAAUUUAAAUAUGCAACCCCAUAUCUCCGGAAGGACAGUGCAAGGCCUUUCUAAGAAAUCAGAGUGCUCCUGGCAACCAUCGAGAGAGAUUAAGACACAUAAAUGGUCGUGUGAGCUCAUGGCAACUACAGAGAGUUUUAGCAGAGACCAUGCAAAACUCGUGGAGAUGCAGAUGGCCAGAUUUGGACUUAAAAUCUUGGACAAAGUCAGACCCCUGGUUCCCAUCUGUUGGAAAUCUAUAUAAGAGUUUGGGACCCAACGGAACUUUUAUUUCU